AGAGCCCUUCAAAUUAGAAUAGUGUUGAUGAUCUUGUCAAUGCUGAGAUUUUCAUGCAUCAACAGCCACUACAUCUGGAUCAGAUUGAACAAGAAACAGACAGCAAGGGUUGUCAGGUCAGAAACAGAAUGACACACAAACACAAGAAACUUCACAGAUCAACAUGCAAUUUGAAGACGUGUGAUAAAAUACAGAGAGGUGAAGUAGUGUGUCUUUCCAGAUCCCCAAAUCAUUCCUUCUUAAAAGAUGAGCCUGAAGAGGAGAUUUGGGAAGAUGCUGUUUCGUAAGUCGCUUUGCCAGAUCACCUGUGGUCGGGAUGUCUGCUAACAAGAUGCCUUGCUGGUCUGGGCGAGUUUAAAGGCUUACACAGACAAUCCAGAAGUUCUAAAGUCCAUCUUCGAUUUCAUUGAUGCUGUCAUCGUAUUAAGUACAGCAUGAGCCAGAAUAGAUGGGUGGUGGUGGCCAUAAGAAGACGGUCAACUAAACCAACAACAAAAUUCAUAUUUGCAGUUUUUCUUGAAUAAAGUUUUUCUAUUCAGAUUAAUAAAAUGACUUUUAAACAUGA